rnacentral:rRNA from 1 species
CGGUAUUUUGACCGUGCUAAGGUAGCAUAAUCAAUUGUUUUUUAAUUGAAAACUAGUAUGAACGGUUUAAUUUACUUAAUUAGUUUGUAAUUUUUAAUAGUAAGUUAAAUAUAAAGUAAGAAUUCUUUAAUAAAUUAGGGGACGAUAAGACCCUAAAAGCUUUAUGAUUGGCAUUUAAUUAGUGAUAGCGGUGUUAUUAAUUCACUGGGGCAGUGAGUUUAGGUAUAUUUAAGUAUAAUUAAAAGCUCCUUUAAAUAAAGAUUUCAUGUAUAAGUUACUUUAGGGAUAACAGUGCAAUAUAUUUGGGGAGACCAUAUCUAUAAAUAUGAUUGCAACCUCGAUGUG